CUGGAAAAACCGUAGCUUUGACUAUAUGGACCUUUGUCAGCAAAGCAGCAUCUCUGCUUUUUAAAAUGCUGUCUAAGUUGAUCAUAGCUUUUCUUCCAAGGAGCAACCCUCUUUUAAUUUCAUAUCCACAUAGGGAAGUUCAAACAUUCAAAUGGAUCAACUAAACAAUAUUGACUGAGUGUCUACGAUGUGCCCAGUAUUAUGCCAGGUACUAAAGGAGUUACUAAAGAGGUGACGGCAGGACAACCACAGGAUCAGGAUGCUUCGUCUGCUUUUAUUCUCAGGAAGGAGGGAGAGCAGCCAGUCCUGUUCUCUGGAGGCUAACUUUCUGUGCAGUGUUCACUGACGCUUUUAUUAAUGACAUUUAAAUAAAUGGUAGAGGCCA